GACGUAGGGAGCAAGCGUUAUCCGGAAUUACUGGGCGUAAAGCGUACGUAGGCGUUUAGAUAGGUUUUUGAUUAAAGUUUCUGGCUCAACUAGAAAAGUGUCAAAAAAACCCUCUAAAUAGAGACUAAUAGAGGCAGGUGGAAUUCCCGGUGGAGUAGUGAAAUGCGUUGAUAUCGGGAGGAACACCAAUGGCGAAGGCAGCCUGCUAGGUUAGUUCUGACGCUGAGGUACGAAAGCGUGGGUAG
rnacentral:rRNA from 1 species